GUCACCGCCUUCCUCUUGUCGUCUGCUUGGUGACAGCAGGCCCACCAUCGCGUCCAGACGCACGUGUAUAUCAGCGCCACCUCUGCUGCACUCCCGCUGUCUCUUUCUUCGCCAUUGGGAGGGGGCAGCGCCCUUGGCUCCUCCGCUGGCAUACCAUCUAGCUCGCUCAUCUCCACGAGUGUGUCUCCUCUCUUCACCUGUUUCUCUCUCCGCGCGCGCCUGAGCCUCUGCGAGCAGUGCGCGUGUGUGCACGCGAGAGAGAGUGAGAGAGGGAUCACUUACGCCGCCACGCACCCACAUACGCGCACACACAUCUCUCUCUAUCUCGCUGUCGAUCUACGUGUGCGUUCCUCAAAUCCCCUUCCUCCUCCCCUUCUCUCCCCCUCCCCCUCCUUCCUCCCGCUCUCCCUCUCUUGGUGAACGUGCGUGUGCGUGCGUAUCUCUCUUGAACGCCCUGUCGCAUGGUGUGCGUCUCAGCACACACGCACGCACGCAGCGCGCACGGGUUCUUCUUUAUCUAUCCACUAUUAGCGCCCAACACACGAGAGGCGGUCCAGUUCCACAGAACGCCCACGCUUCCGCCGACAUACACGAAUAUGGGGUGCAAGAAUUCGUCACACACGAUGUCGGGAAGCAGUUCCGUGGCAGGCACCGCUCCUGGCGCCAUCGAGGACGCUGGGAGCUCCUCCCCAGUCUUCGGCUCCGGCGUUCAUGUCGGUCGCUCCGGUAACGUGGACCUCUCGGGGCGCGACCUAGAUGUGCUGGGGCCGCAGAUGGUGCACAUGAUCAAUGAAGACGAGCUACAUCGCACUGCAACAUCGCUAAGACUAUCAAACAACAGGCUGUAUGCGCUGGCCAAGGAACUGCCACUGCUGUCGAACCUGCGUGAGCUCGAUAUCGACCACAACCGGUUCCAGCGCUUCCCCGAGGUACUUGUACGGCUGCCGCGUCUGUGGCGCAUCAACGCCAGCUUCAACCCCAUCGAUAGCGUACGCGGAUUCGACGUGUUGCCGCGUCUCCUCUCGCUGCGCUCGCUGACGGUGCGGGAUUGCAGCCUGAAGGAGAUCCCUAUGGCGGUGAUCCAGUGCGAAGUUCUGGAGGAACUCGACGUGGGCAACAACCCGGAGAUCAAGAUCACCGGCGUUGCCUUGCAUCGGCUCAAGCGACUGAAGAAGCUUGGUGUGGCGAACUGCAACCUCGGUGGGCGCACCCUUCCCAACGCGAUCAAGCGCAUGAGACUGACAUCGCUCGACAUCUCCGGCAACGCCUUCACCUUCACCGACCCGAACUUCUUCGGAAGGAGUAUGCCACACUCGCUGAUAGAGCUGCACCUCGUCGGCAUGAAUCUCACGGCACCGCCGGCGGUGGUGGCACUGCUGAAGAAGCUUAACUUCCUCGACCUCGCUGAGAACCCCAUUGAGACGCUCGACGUCCUCGCCGGCCGCGUGGUGAAGCGGCUGCAUCACGUGGCUAGCAACGGCACGGUGGCCACCGCCGUCACAAACGGCUUCUCCGAUGCGCCAGCGGAAGAGGAGGACGACUUCGAGGAAGACGAGACGUCCACCCACGCCUCCGGCGGCGUCGCCAGCGCCGUGACGAGCCGCGUCAGCCUCAGCAAGGCGAGCAGGGAGGGGAUCGUAUCGCACGUGACGCAGCCGAUCCCGCUGAAGCGGCUCUCGCUGCGCGCGUGCAACUUUCGCAUGGUGCCCAAAUACUUCCACAAGCUGGACCAACUCGAAGAGCUCGACCUCUCCGAGAACGAAAACCUCGACGACCCGAACAUGACACUAUUCUCGCUGCAGAGUUUGGUGACGCUGAACAUUGUCGGCUGCCCCUUCGCCGAGGACCCGUCGCAGUCGCGGAACGAGUGGUUCGAUAUUGGCAAGCUCCGCAACCUGCGCAAUAUUCAGUGGGAAGUGUGGAAGAGCGAGCACAACAUGAGCCCCUAUCGCACCAAGAUCCCGAUCGAGCUGUGCGCGCUGCGACUGCGCACGCUGAACGAAGUGCAGCUACGCCGCAACCUCUUCACCGGCGACAUUAUAGAGACAGUUAUCAAUCUCUUGUCCGACGGCUACUUCAAGGUGGAUCUGUCCGUGGACGAGAUGAUCCUGCACACCCACGUCGCCGCCGUCAAGGCCUUCACCGAGGGCGAGCGCUUCUUCUUCCCCAAGACGAUCACCGAAGUGCCGAACCUUAAGUGCGGCGUCGACCCAGCCUCGCUUGGGCAGGUGCACCUCAAGAUUGCUCUCAGCCGCUACAUCUUCUUCCUAGCCAUACAGGCGGCCAACUACGACGCCGUCAUCAUCCCGCCACUGGAUGUCAUGAUCAUCCACUACGCGCAGCUCACUGUCCACCCGCUCAAGUACCGCACCGACUGCGAGGCCGUGUGUGGGCGCAUACUGGACUGCAACUAUCGAACCUUCUUCGCGGAGCAGAAGAAGCACCAGGCGGAGGCGAAGAGCGUCGUGGAUGCGUCGAGACGCAUCUGGAAUUUGAUGGUGCGCUCCGCCCAGCGCGAUCUCGCGUGGCUGCGGUACGACUUCUGGGACAAGCGACUGCGCGCGUCGGCGGCCGAUGGCGCCGCCGGAGCUGCGUUCUCCGGUGAGCAUACGGCGAUCCCGAAGACGUUGCCGCUGCUGGUCGGCAAGACGACUGCCGAGGUGACGCAGGACUGGCAGUCUAUGAUGUCCAUCGACUCGGCGCACGACUUGGCCGGUGUGCUGGACCAGGCCAUCACGUCGCACUUCUCUGAGAAGGGCGUAGAGGAUUUUGGUGCGUCCAUUCAGCAGUUUUAUGAGAUAAACCGCUGCUUCCUGUGCCACGAGGAUUCUCUGUGGAAGGCAGACCUCGACUGGAACCGGUAUGUGAAGUUUCUGACCCUCUACGCCUACCGGUGCGCCGUGCUCGAGGGCGAUACAGCCUACGUCGUGGAGCCGGUCGCGGACGAGGAAGGCAACCUUGUCGCGCCAGAUCGCACCACCUCGAUGCUGGGUAAGCACUACGACUCCAUGAACAACCGCAGCUUCGACGACGCGGGCAAGUAUCUGCCGAAGCCACAAGAUGGGGGGCAGAAAGGCCCCCCCAACAUCGUGUCAGAGAACCAGGCCGAGUCUAGCGGUGUCCCGCAAACCCGCACCGCCAGCGGCUUCGCUCGUCGGUCCUUGUCUACGCUGCAGAAGGCCAGCAAGUCGAACAAGCGGCUGACGAUGGUGCGCCAGCUCGAGGGCAACCCCGUGCCCACGAUCGGUAUCAUCUUUAUGCUCCACGCCCACCGCACCUCACACCUGAAGUACUAUCAGUCCAUGUCGUUGUUUGCCAUCGAAAACGUUGAUGUGGUGUGGGGCGCCGCGGGCUACGGCAUCUUGAAGCAGAUGCAGGGCGCAUGGAUGGCCUUGUAUGACGAGGCGUACGUCAGCGAAAACAAGGAGAUGCUGUUCAGCUACCUCGUGCAGAACGGCGUGUUGAUGCCGACCUCCGACCCGUGCGAUGCCGCGAACACAGUGGCAGGGGACGGCUCUGCGACGGCGAAGAAGUCGGGCGGCACAUCGAAGCAGAAACAUCGGUACGCCUACGUGUCGGACGUGGCGCCGCACAGGUCGUGCAUCAAGGCGCGCACACGCAACGCGGACAACUUCGGCCGCCGGGUGACAUUCUGCAGCGCUGACACGGAGUUUGGCGUCUUCUAGUCGGGGGGAGGGGGGCCGGAGAGAAGCGAGCGUGUCAGUGCACGGGUGAGCGUGCGUGAGUGCCGCCCUUCACAUCACCAUCAUCAUGUUCGUGGCCUCCUCCCACCCGCCUCUCCCCGUCUCUCUCCCUUGCUCUCUCUUGCUGUGUCUGUGCCUGUGCCCUUGUUAGCUCUUGCCGACAUUGUUUCUACUUCGCUAUUCUCUCUUGGUGGUGAUGGUGUUGGUGGUGGUGGUGGGGGUGCGUCCGGCUGGCCGUCCUCCCCGCGCCCUGCUCGACCGCCAUCAACACAGCCAUGUGUGCUCCGACGUCUUUCUCACCCUCCAUUUCUCUGCCCUUCUCUCUAGGCGUGUGCGCACGCGACGACGAAGAACGUUGUCCGGCUCCUCCUCUUCUUCGGGGCUGCCUAGCAGGCGGCAGGGACCUCCUCGCUUCCCUUCGCUUCCUUGACGGACCGCUUGAUGGCGACUACUCCCCUAAAAACGAGUACCUGUCUGUGCCGCACACGUGCGGGCGUGCACCCUUCUCUUCUCCCUUCUCGUCGGUUUCGUAUAUAUACUCUCCCUUUUUCCAUCUGUGACUGUGUGUGUGUGUGUGUGUCGUUGUCGUUUUCGUUGUCGUUGUCGCUGCGAAGCAGCUCAUGCAUCAUGCAUCGUCACCUUCUUCCCCCUUCCACCUCCUCCUCUACUGAUGCGUGAGUGGGCAUGGCGCGUUUCUGGUGGACUCGGUGACGGUUGUCGCGAAAGUCAGCAUGGACGUUGCCAUGCCCCGUGGACUCUCUCCCCAGUCCUCUCCUCUCCUCGCAGGCCCAUUCCUUCGUGCCUCGCGCCUCGCCCCUGCCAUCGCGCGCUCUUACCAUUGUGACGCCUGCCUGUGAAACGGCUUUCCUGUGUGAUGACUGUGUUGCGUGCGUGCUUGUGCACAUCACGUCUUCUUGCGUGCCUGCCAGAGAGGGUACAGCCAGUGCCGUCGGGAAGACACGUGGGGAAGAAGUGGUGGGGGGGGGGAACGGCUGACAGCGAACACGACAGACAUACAGAGGACACGUCUGUGAGCGGCUGGGCAGGAAUCAAGCCAGUCGGAGAGGAAGCGGAUCAGCAAGGAGAGGAGAGGAGAGGUGGUGGCGGUGGCGGCGGUCCUUGGGCAGGGGACGGCGCGUGGUGGAUCACACAGAGCAAGGAAAGAUUGAUGGGCGGAUGAUCUAUAGCUGCACGCGCCUCCUCGUGAUGCUCGCGUGUGAGCCAUGGCGCGCCUGUGCGCAGUCCCGAAGAGGAGAGGAGCGAGACAGCGGCGACGCGUUGCAGUAAGCGAUAAUCGUAGCGUGUGCGUGCGUCUAUCGGUGUACGAGUUGACGGAACUCUCUUGGUCGCAUGAUGGGCUGAUGUGAACAUCGUAACAGACGCUGCGUGGAAUGGGUGAGCUUCCGCGUGUGCGUGCGUGCGUGUGUCGCUUUACCGAGCGGCGUACAGUUGGAAAGGAAAAGAUCGCGAUGGCUGGCGCGCAAGCAUCCAGCAGACCGUGGGAAACGCGAGAGAGGGAGGGGGAGGGCCGAAGUGGCGGGGGUGCGCUCGCUUCUCCACCACACGCCACCCCGCGUGCCGUCACCUCCCUCCUCCUCCGUCCCCCCCUCUCUUCGCCGCGCUCCCUCACACCUUUUGUCUGUCUCUAUCG
rnacentral:misc_RNA from 1 species